rnacentral:lncRNA from 1 species
GGAAGAGUUUGUCAGGUUCUCCCUUCUCUGUCAACCCACUUUACCCUCCCAACCACCCAGGAAGAAGGCAUUGUCAAAUACUAUAAUCCGUCUGCUAUUGACCAAGACUUCAUUGUGUGGCGCGUGACGGAACUGUGUCUCUGGACAAGAAGAGCAUUUGCAGGGACAUGAAAGUUAUCUAAGUUUCAGUUUGCUGAUGGGGCAGCUUAGGCAGGAGCAGCUCUAUCUUCAGCUUAGAAAUUUACUUCAGUACCUGGAACACCAGAGGAAGCGAAUUCUGGGAAGCGCAGAUCCAGUGUGGAUAACUUGACAUGGUACAAAGUCACCACAGAGUCUGUCCCUGCUGGCAAGGAAAAGGACUGAGAAAGCUAAUAUUUAUCGAGUACAUUCUGGGCCAGGUUGCAGGUUGAACACCGAGACAGUACGAUGGUGCAGAGUAACAUGAGGAAAUGUGCCCAUGACAUCGUUUAGGCAUAUGGGACAGAUGCCUCUCUCUGGAGGGGUAACCUGGACGCACGAUGGAGGAAUGAGGGCCAAGAGAAGGGAGUGGCUUCAGCAACCAGCUGCUUAAAGAGCUCUGUGACAUCUUGUUCAGUCACUUCUCUCCAUUUGAAUGAC